rnacentral:rRNA from 1 species
UACUGCUAUCAGUGUUCGAUUAAGCCAUGCGAGUUAAAUGUUCUUCGUGAACAUGGCGUACUGCUCAGUAACACGUGGAUAACCUGCCCUAAGGUCCGGCAUAACCCCGGGAAACUGGGGAUAAUACCGGAUAAACCAUAGAUACUGGAAUGUUCUGUGGUUAAAAGUUCCGGCGCCUUAGGAUGGAUCUGCGGCCUAUCAGGUAGUAGUGGGUGUAAAGUACCUACUAGCCGACGACGGGUACGGGUUGUGAGAGCAAGAGCCCGGAGAUGGAUUCUGAGACAUGAAUCCAGGCCCUACGGGGCGCAGCAGGCGCGAAAUCUUUACAAUGCGGGAAACCGCGAUAAGGGGACACCGAGUGCCAGCAUACAAUGCUGGCUGUCCACAUGUGUAAAUAGCAUGUGAUAGCAAGGGCCGGGCAAGACCGGUGCCAGCCGCCGCGGUAACACCGGCGGCCCGAGUGGUAAUCACUAUUAUUGGGUCUAAAGGGUCCGUAGCCGGUUUAAUCAGUCUUCCGGGAAAUCUGACAGCUCAACUGUUAGGCU